AUCCCAUUGUAGGAUGCUCCGCCCAGGGGGAGGAGCCAAGCAUUCCUACCUGGAUAUAAGCUGAGGCUUACAGCCCCAGGAGCACCUUGGCUACUGGAUUCCCAGAGGACAAGAGCUCCAUCACCACCACUGGACUUCAGAGGAAGACCAGACUCUUCUACAGGAUCACUGCUUCGACAGAAUCACGUUCAUCACUGCUACAGGACUGCAGCCACCAUUUAAUGAGACUGCUACCAGCACCCUGACUAACAGGGUGCCAGGUUAUAUCCUCAUUCUGUCAGUUUAAGGCAGCAUUUCUGUAUCAUUGCCUCAAUCUUAAUUUUCUUGUUAAAUUGUAAUUCUGGCUUAGGCUCUCCUCCUGGUUUGCCUUUAAACUAGUACAAAACUCAAUGCACUCAUCUCUUGUUUUCCUCCCAAAACAGAAUUUCACAUCCCAAAACCUUUGCCAGAUGGAGGAGGAUGUUGUGAGGAAGACAAAGAUGCCCUGGGACAUGCAGGCAGGUGAGGAGGAAGUCAGUGCCCCUUUCCCCCUUUUCUUUGCUCCAUCUCCUAGACCAGCAUGGCCCCUGGCUGCAGGACAACACCACGGGCAAUGCUGUCCUGCCACGGAUGAACUGGGGGAAUUUCCUUCCCCUUCCCUCUGGCACAGAGCCAAUUCCCAUCCUCUUUCUGUCCUUCCUCCCCCCAACAAGGAUCUGGGGAUGGAGACCAGCGAGGACAAAGCCCCAUGGCACAACCUUGUAGCAGAGGCCAUUUUGAGUGGCUCCACAGCACAGGAAUACAACGGGGAAGAAAAGCCCCAGAGAUCCCACAGGAGGAGGGGCUGCAAACCCAGCCCAGGCUACUCUGAAAAGGAAAGACCCACCCUGAGCCAGGAAAGUGGACAGUGCUUCAGCCAGAACUCAGAGCUGGUGAUCCAUGAGCAGCUUCAUGAUGGGGAUAAGCCCCACAAGUGCUUGGAGUGUGGGAAGAGCUUCAGGCAGAGCUCCCACCUAAUCCGCCACCAGAUGAUCCACACCGGGGAAUGGCCGCACAAAUGUGGGGAGUGUGGGAAGGGCUUCAGCUGCAGAUCCACCCUGGCGACCCACCAACGCAUCCACACCGGGGAGAGGCCCUAUGAGUGUCCUGAGUGUCAGAAGAGAUUUCAGAGCAGCUCCAGUCUCCUCCUGCACCAGCGGAUUCACACCGAUGAGAGGCCCUUCUGCUGCCCUGAUUGUGGGAAGGGCUUCAAGCGCAACUCCAACCUUGUCACGCACCGGCUCAUCCACACCAGGGAGAGGCCCUACGAGUGCCCCACGUGUGGGAAGAGGUUUCAGACCAGCUCCAACCUCCACCUGCAUGAGCGGAUUCACACAGAUGAGAGGCCCUUCCGCUGCCCCGACUGCGGGAAGGGCUUCAAGCAAAACUCCCACCUCGUCAGGCACCGGCGCAUCCACACUGGGGAGAGGCCCUACAAGUACCCCACAUGUGGGAAGAGCUUCACCCAGAGCUCUGACUUGGCCAGCCAGGAGUCACCGGUUGUCUCCUACCCCGCAAUCCUUGUCAGUCUCCCUGAGUUCAUCGCUGGACCCUGUGGAAAGUGGACUCUGGGCUCCUGCAGAUCUGCAUCUGGACCUGCUGUGGGAGUUACCUCUUGAGACCACCUGUCUGCGAAACUUCCUCCAGUAGGAGCAGACCCGUCUGGUGGGUGUCACUCCUGGAGGCUCGGGGAGGCAGCUCCUGCACCCGAGGAGUCUUCCCCUGACAGGACACAUUUGGUCUUUUGUUCACCUAACACCGCAUUUUUACUGAGAGGGGGUCUGAGUCAAAACAACGUUGAAUUCUGCGCCUGAGACUGUAAGUGGUCUCCUCUCCCUUUCUCUCCUUCUUGUUCCCCUGUCUCUCUACCCCAGAUCCUUUCAAUUGUUGAAGGGUCGGGGCGUUCUGAGCCCCUUUCGUUUACUUUGAGCCAGGUCUUUUUAACUUAGCACCUUUGCCUCUUUUCUGUGCUGCACAGCCACUGUCUUUUUUGAUAGGGGCAAGUGUGGAUCUUUCUGCCUUUUCCUUUUCAUUUUCCCGAGGGUGGUGGGUGUUGGUUCCCUCUCUUAACAUCAUAAGCCAUCAGUGUGAGGCUUUCUGAGUUCCAGAAAACAACGUUUAUCCAAGUUGCGGGAAUCCUUGCAGGUGGCGAUGUUCAUGUUAAAAAGUGAGAAUUAAGAAAGUUAAUUGUUUGGUUGUUUUCUCACUUCCUGGAGGUUACCACUGGCCAAUUGUAUGAGGUCAAUUUUUGGGAUGUAGUCAUUGCAAAGUUGGCAGAAUUAGGACGGUCAGGGGACUCCUCCCUUUCUAAGAUCUUUCUCUGUGUCCGUCAAGUUAGAGCCAUUUUAAAUUUAAGGUGGGAACGGAGAAAACAACCAUCAGUUAACACUUCAAUCCCCAGUUCAUGCGGUUCUCUCCGUCCUACCCCUCUUCCUUCUCCCGUGGGCCCAAAAGGUGAAAUCUUGAAGGGAGCUUCCACAGUUGUCACAAAUCGGGGUCCCCAUCUCCCCAGCUCUCUCCAAGGUUCUUGCCCCUGCCGCCCGAGAAGUCCUGGCCAAACUUCUUGGGACCUUCCCCUUCCUGAGCCUUUUCCAGUUUGCAAAUCUCCAUCCCGAGUUUGCUUUAAUCUCCCAGAUCCUUAUCCCUCACAAAAUGGCUUCUGUGAAGCCCAAUAUGGCGGAAGUCUCGUGGCUUUUCCCGCCAACCCAGUCUCCUGUCUCUAUAAACCCUUUCGUAUGUUGAACAACCCCUUUCUUAUUUAGACUCCUCCCAUUCCCCUGCUCCUUCCCUUGUCCCUCUGCCAGUCCCUCCUCCGAAAUCCCUGCUCCAUGUUACAUCCCUGAGGUGGAAACUGGAACAUCAGGCAUCAGGUCUCCCCGCCUAGUCCCUUAGCUCCUCCCCUCGCCCUCCUCUUUCUGGUUCCCAUGCUUUGGCUUGUGGGGGGCAAGAGGUGGGACACCGGAAACUGGAGCCAAUGCCCACAAUAUCAGCGGCUCCAGUCUCAUACCAUCUGGAGAGGGAGGGCAGGACACGAGCCCAAUGGACCCCAGUUUCUGCACCACGUAAUUAAAGAACUUUGCAAGGCCCAAAAAGAUUUUGGUAGAGAUAGUGAACAUUUCUGGGGAAUCUUAAGGGCCACUCUCACGGAGUCAGAGGUAACCCCGGCCAAUCUCAAACAUUUGUUUUCCUCCCUCCUCAAUCCCACCAAGUACACCAUGUUGGAGGGAGUAUGGAAAAAGGCAGCUCGGGAAAUCCUCCCGACUCUGUGGAAGAAUUCCCAGACUGGUGCAGACUUGAAAGGAGAGCCCAUCUCUAUUGAUCAUCUUUGUGGCCUGACAAACUGGGCACAAGGGCAGGUUCAAGCCGAAGUACAACCUCGAGAGGCUUUAAAAGAAGCCGUGUAGUUGGCUGAAAAGGCAUUCCUUGCUUUGCAAGUUGAGGCUCCCUUGUUAACAUACUCUAAAAUUUUUCAGUCUCCAUCUGAGCCUUUUACAACCUUUGUAUAAUGCCUCUGGAAGGCAGUGGAGUUGCAGGUUUGGGGUGAGGAGGCUUGUCAAGAGAUUUUAUCUGAGAUGGCAUCAGCUAACACCAAUCCCAGGUGUAAGGUGGCCAUCCUCAGCCUCCCAUUAGAACGCCUCCCCCACCUUGCAACUCAUGCUUGAAGUUUGUGCAAAAAAGUUUUCUGUGCUUCCGGAGGAACCUACUCAAAAAGAUCAUACACCAAGAACUGCUCUCAAAGUUGCUUUUGCCAAACCUCCCAUUGAUGUUUAUCCUACUUUGUCUCCAGGCACGCAAACCAUGCCAAGACCUGCUGGCCCGCCACCGCCCGAGGAUUGCCUGUGUCAUCUCUGUGUUAAGCCAUGCCACUGGGCCCUGGCUUGCCCACUGCAGCAACAAUUUCUUUAAUUUAGAUAGAGCCAGUCGCUUUUUGAGGAGGGGUCAAAAAAAAAUAUUUCUAAGUGCAGCCCCUCCCUUUGUGACAACAAAAUUAAGGCAGAACAAUUAAGUGUCCUGUGGGGAGGGCAGGGGAGGAGACCCCUUCAGACACAUCCCACUUGUUGCUGACAUAAUUGACAUGACUUUACCUGAUGUGAUUUCCAAUGUUUCACUGGACAUGACUUUUAAAGAUUCAACAUCUGCAACACCUAUAUACUUAAACCAAAAACCCAUUCUGACAACAUUAUCUAAACUUUCUCCCUUCAGACUCCAGUUGACAAAGCCCGUCCAUCUCCGAAACUCUAAUUUCCAUGCAGUAACGGUUUCGCCCAAGACCCCAGGUACUUGGCACUGGAUCCGUUGCAGGUCAAACCAUGGUGGAAGAGGUCUCAGCAGAGUCUCAACACUCGAACAUCAGCGAGAGACAGUGAACAUAGACCCUCCCCAGAUGGGGUUGUCCAAAGCGAUUUUCAGAUUAAACUUCUUAAACUGCAGUUUUGAAAAUUUGAAUCCACCCAUGACUCGGUGUUACCACGCAAACCCUCUACUGGAGCUGAAGGACAGGUCCUGGGUCAUGGUAAGAGACCCGGAGACCUGGAAAGUGGAGGGCCCCUUCGAUCUUGUCACCUGGGGGAGGGGAUAUGCUUGCGUAUCCACUCCCUCUGGGCCUAAGUGGGUACCCUCCAAAUGGGUCAAGCCAUUUCUACCAAAAAAACGUUUGGCUUGUCAGGUAGUGCAAGUAGAAGAUGUUUGUUGGAGGAGGAAGAAGAGACCUUUUUCAGAUGAUCUCAUCAUCCUGGAGUAGAACCACCCCCCUUUUUUUGCAUUGUACUCACUGAUUCUGCUUAUUUUCCAGUAAACCCAAACCUAAUGGCCCUCAUCUGGCUUUGGAUCACCGUCAUCCUGGUUUUCAUCUGGUCCACCAUACCACCUGUUGAUAUGUGGAUCAUCCCCCAGCCAAAAGUUCACAUCUGGAAAGCGCUCAUCAAGGUCCUUGGCCAGGAUCUUCUUUGUUUGACCACCGUUUCAGCAGCAGACCCCUUGUCGACCUGCCUUGUGGGGAUCCCUUCAAACCUAGAUGAGUUUCUUCCCCCUCUCAACAGUUCCCUGAAACUCCUUGCGCAUUAGAAAGUUACUUCUCCCCUGGAAUUAACCCUAACCUUGUCUGGAGAAAUCUCCUCCCCAAAUUAAAUCAUUCAGAUUCUGAACCCCUUGAGUUUACCUUGCUUGGCUCCAUGCCAGCCUCAGUUUGUGUCCAAUUUCUGUUUUCCCCAGACGCCCUUGAUAAAUCCUACCUCCCAGUCCUUCAACACAAUCAAGAUUACACUGCUGGAAACUGGUGCAACGCCAUUUCCCAAAUUUCCAUGGCUUCGACUUAUGACCACAAAUCCCGAUCCCUUCCCCGGGGAAUUUUCUUAAUUUGUGGAGACCCAGCUUGGGCAGGCAUCCCCUCUCGCCUGAUAGGAGGCCCUUGUUCCUUUGGGAGGCUGACGCUGUUUGCACCCAACAAUACUCAAAUUUCAAAUUGGAAAUCUAGAAACGUCACACACAAUUCAGCCCAUUCCUGGAGAAACCUUCAAGAAUUAGAUUCUAAAUGUGACUUGGAAAUUGUUGAUUGGUCCAAACCUAAAGGUUUUGCAAUCACAGUCCUUUUACCUUGGAUGGCUGCGACAAAAGCUGCAGGUGAAUUAGCUCACCUAGAGUUUUGGGUAGCCAAACAAGCAAACUUAAUCUCAGCAGUCCUGAGCGACCUCCUAUCAGAUGAAGAAAUAACAAGGCAGGCAACCCUUCAGAACAGGGCAGCAACUGAUUUCCUGAUCCUGCUCCAUUACCAUCAAUGUGAAGAGUUUGAGGGGCUCUCCUGUCUGAACUUGACAUCUAAGGCCAAGGAUGUCAGGAAUACAAUUGCACAACUGAAGGACAUGGUGCAUCAGAUUAAGAAAGAGUGCAGACUGGCUGGGGGACAUUUUCUCCAGAUGGGGCCUUUCAGGCUGGGUGGGCUCUGUUUUAAUAACCAUUCUUUUGUUCUGUUUAGUCAUUUUAAUUGUCUGUGUUGCUGCCAGCAUCAUAUGGCAGCUAAUACUAAAAUUUCUUUAAAAUACUAAAAGAUGACAUCUUCCCCAAGCAUUAACUGAGUGCAAAUUCCAACAUCAGACCCGGAGGAAGAAGAUCAAGACUCCACCAAAGACCAUCUGGCUCCUGAGGAGGGCUGGUGGGCUUCUGCCCCACUAAGCUCAACCUUGGUUUGGGGACAUUUACUUAGAAUUUAACAAUCAAACUGAAUUUACUUCAUUUUAAGGACUUGUUUUCUCCCCUUGUGAUUAAUUUUAAACAAAAAAGGGAGAGAUGUUGUGUUGUGGUUUUUUUGGGUUUUUAGUUAUGCUAAGUUGUAUAUUGUAAGUUGGUUUGUUCCACUCACCCCUUUAGUUAUACAAUGGUUCUACCCAGGUUGCCUCCUCCCCCGCAAUCCUUGUCAGUCUCUCUGUCUCCUCCCCUGUUGCCCCAGUUACAAAUGCAUCUUUUGUUUUGACUGAGCCUGGUGCCCUGUCCAUCACUUGGCGACACAUCCUCUCCAUCUAGAAGCUUCUCUUCUGGGCAUCAAGUGAUUGGUUUAGGGGGUGGGGCCACUUCCCUAGUUACUUUCCAUUGGUCCCACAGCAGUGUCCUUCUUUCCUUUUCCACUCCUUCCUGCUCCUCUCUUGGUUGGAGGGCUGACUCCACCCCUGUUGCCACCCCCCUUUAUAAGUUGCUGUAAGCCUUUUCCCACUGUCUUCAGCUUACAGACCUCCUAGACUUUUCAUCUCCCUGCUCCUCCCAAUAGACCCUGUUUCACCAGAAGUCGAAGCCCGCUUUCUUCACUCCCGUCGGCAUUGGCCCAGACUC